GGCCUAUUUUAGUCCGGAGGUUGAGUCUUGGGCGCAGUUGCGUGUUCCAACAGGACGAUGACCCCAAACACACGUCAAAAGUGUCCUGAAGAAUUUGGAGGCUGACAUUGUCUCCAGUGAACAGACUGAAGGAACAUGUCAGAUCUCGACCUCCCGCCUGGACAUGGACCUUUGACGCCUCUCUCCUGCCCUUGACCUCACGCCUGCUCACGGACCUCCAAGCCUGCCUUUCCCCUCUUGGACUUCCGCCUAUCACUCAACACGCACCUUCAACAACUC